CCAAAGGAGAAACUUCUUUUCUGUGGUGAACUGGUACAAAGUUGACUGGGAUUUUUCUUUCUUACUUUCAGGGGUAUAGUGCUGCCAGAGCUCAGAGGAGAUAUGCUCCGUCACUUAAAAAAAUAUUUUGGACCUAGUUGAAACUAUUUACCUAUUUUGAGCUGGUAAAACUAUUUUUGUAAAAUAUAUUCUGAUAAAUUCAAAAUCAAUUAUAUUUAAUUACCACUAAAACUCCAUGAAAAACGACAGAAUGACAAAACAAAUCAAUAUGUAGAACAGCCUAAGGGUUGGUCAAUGAGGUAGGUCAGUGGGGGGAAUCAAUGAGGUAGGUCAGUGGGGGAAUCAAUGAGGUAGGUCAGUGGGGUAGGUCAAUGAGGUAGGUCAUGGGUGGAAUCAAUGAGGUAGGUCAGUGGGGUAGGUCAAUGAGGUAGGUCAGUGGGGUAGGUAAAUGAGGUAGGUCAAUGAGGUAGGUCAAUGAGGUAGGUCAGUGGGGUAGGUCAAUGGGGUAGAUCGUUGAGGUAUGUCAAUGGGGUAGGAAAAUGUGGUAGAUCAAUGAGGUUUUCUUUGUCUUCUCUCUGGUGGUGAUGAGAAUGAUGAAGAACUAUAGGGUACAUGAUGAAGAACUAUAGGGUACAUGAUGAAGAACUAA
rnacentral:lncRNA from 1 species